CUCUGGUAUUGAUUGGUGCUUGCAUCAUGAUUUACAUUUGAGUGAGUGGCGAACUGGUGAGUAACACGUGGGAAACCUGCCCAGAAGCGGGGGAUAACACCUGGAAACAGAUGCUAAUACCGCAUAACAACUUGGACCGCAUGGUCCGAGUUUGAAAGAUGGCUUCGGCUAUCACUUUUGGAUGGUCCCGCGGCGUAUUAGCUAGAUGGUGAGGUAACGGCUCACCAUGGCAAUGAUACGUAGCCGACCUGAGAGGGUAAUCGGCCACAUUGGGACUGAGACACGGCCCAAACUCCUACGGGAGGCAGCAGUAGGGAAUCUUCCACAAUGGACGAAAGUCUGAUGGAGCAACGCCGCGUGAGUGAAGAAGGGUUUCGGCUCGUAAAACUCUGUUGUUAAAGAAGAACAUAUCUGAGAGUAACUGUUCAGGUAUUGACGGUAUUUAACCAGAAAGCCACGGCUAACUACGUGCCAGCAGCCGCGGUAAUACGUAGGUGGCAAGCGUUGUCCGGAUUUAUUGGGCGUAAAGCGAGCGCAGGCGGUUUUUUAAGUCUGAUGUGAAAGCCUUCGGCUCAACCGAAGAAGUGCAUCGGAAACUGGGAAACUUGAGUGCAGAAGAGGACAGUGGAACUCCAUGUGUAGCGGUGAAAUGCGUAGAUAUAUGGAAGAACACCAGUGGCGAAGGCGGCUGUCUGGUCUGUAACUGACGCUGAGGCUCGAAAGUAUGGGUAGCAAACAGGAUUAGAUACCCUGGUAGUCCAUACCGUAAACGAUGAAUGCUAAGUGUUGGAGGGUUUCCGCCCUUCAGUGCUGCAGCUAACGCAUUAAGCAUUCCGCCUGGGGAGUACGGCCGCAAGGCUGAAACUCAAAGGAAUUGACGGGGGCCCGCACAAGCGGUGGAGCAUGUGGUUUAAUUCGAAGCUACGCGAAGAACCUUACCAGGUCUUGACAUACUAUGCAAAUCUAAGAGAUUAGAUGUUCCCUUCGGGGACAUGGAUACAGGUGGUGCAUGGUUGUCGUCAGCUCGUGUCGUGAGAUGUUGGGUUAAGUCCCGCAACGAGCGCAACCCUUAUUAUCAGUUGCCAGCAUUAAGUUGGGCACUCUGGUGAGACUGCCGGUGACAAACCGGAGGAAGGUGGGGAUGACGUCAAAUCAUCAUGCCCCUUAUGACCUGGGCUACACACGUGCUACAAUGGAUGGUACAACGAGUUGCGAACUCGCGAGAGUAAGCUAAUCUCUUAAAGCCAUUCUCAGUUCGGAUUGUAGGCUGCAACUCGCCUACAUGAAGUCGGAAUCGCUAGUAAUCGCGGAUCAGCAUGCCGCGGUGAAUACGUUCCCGGGCCUUGUACACACCGCCCGUCACACCAUGAGAGUUUGUAACACCCAAAGUCGGU
rnacentral:rRNA from 2 species